rnacentral:rRNA from 1 species
GGACUACUAGGGUAUCUAAUCCCGUUUGCUCCCCUGGCUUUCGUGCCUCAGCGUCAGGAAUUGUCCAGAGACUCGCCUUCGCCACUGGUGUUCCACUUGAUAUCUACGCAUUUCACUGCUACACCAAGUAUUCCAGUCUCCCUUCCAAUCCUCUAGUUAAAUAGUUUCCAACGCAGUUUCCGGGUUAGGCCCGAAGAUUUCACGUCAGACUUAUCCAACCGCCUACGCACCCUUUACGCCCAGUGAAUCCGAACAACGCUUGGGACCUCUGUAUUACCGCGGCUGCUGGCAC